ACUGAGACACGGCCCAGACUCCUACGGGAGGCAGCAGUGGGGAAUAUUGCACAAUGGGCGCAAGCCUGAUGCAGCGACGCCGCGUGAGGGAUGACGGCCUUCGGGUUGUAAACCUCUUUCAGCAGGGAAGAAGCGAAAGUGACGGUACCUGCAGAAGAAGCGCCGGCUAACUACGUGCCAGCAGCCGCGGUAAUACGUAGGGCGCAAGCGUUGUCCGGAAUUAUUGGGCGUAAAGAGCUCGUAGGCGGCUUGUCGCGUCGGAUGUGAAAGCCCGGGGCUUAACCCCGGGUCUGCAUUCGAUACGGGCAGGCUAGAGUUCGGUAGGGGAGAUCGGAAUUCCUGGUGUAGCGGUGAAAUGCGCAGAUAUCAGGAGGAACACCGGUGGCGAAGGCGGAUCUCUGGGCCGAUACUGACGCUGAGGAGCGAAAGCGUGGGGAGCGAACAGGAUUAGAUACCCUGGUAGUCCACGCCGUAAACGUUGGGAACUAGGUGUGGGCGACAUUCCACGUUGUCCGUGCCGCAGCUAACGCAUUAAGUUCCCCGCCUGGGGAGUACGGCCGCAAGGCUAAAACUCAAAGGAAUUGACGGGGGCCCGCACAAGCGGCGGAGCAUGUGGCUUAAUUCGACGCAACGCGAAGAACCUUACCAAGGCUUGACAUACACCGGAAACGUCUGGAGACAGGCGCCCCCUUGUGGUCGGUGUACAGGUGGUGCAUGGCUGUCGUCAGCUCGUGUCGUGAGAUGUUGGGUUAAGUCCCGCAACGAGCGCAACCCUUGUUCUGUGUUGCCAGCAUGCCCUUCGGGGUGAUGGGGACUCACAGGAGACUGCCGGGGUCAACUCGGAGGAAGGUGGGGACGACGUCAAGUCAUCAUGCCCCUUAUGUCUUGGGCUGCACACGUGCUACAAUGGCCGGUACAAUGAGCUGCGAAGCCGUGAGGUGGAGCGAAUCUCAAAAAGCCGGUCUCAGUUCGGAUUGGGGUCUGCAACUCGACCCCAUGAAGUCGGAGUCGCUAGUAAUCGCAGAUCAGCAUUGCUGCGGUGAAUACGUUCCCGGGCCUUGUACACACCGCCCGUCACGUCACGAAAGUCGGUAACA
rnacentral:rRNA from 1 species